UUUUGUUCCUUACAGAGACUCUGUCCUCACCUGGCUUCUCAAGGACAACCUGGGUGGCAACAGUAAGACGUGUAUGAUCGCCACGGUGAGCCCAGCAGCUGAUAACUACGAGGAGACGUUGUCCACGCUGCGUUACGCAGACCGCGCCAAGAGGAUCGUCAACCACGCCGUCGUCAAUGAAGACCCCAACGCACGGAUCAUCAGAGAGCUCCGGGAGGAAGUGGAGAAACUCAGAGUACAGCUCUCUCAGGCUGAGUCUCUAAAGGCUCCAGAGCUAGAAGGAG